CACUGUAAAAAAGACCAAUGUUGAAUUACAAUCGGGUCGUUAAUUUUAAAUUUUCCAGUUUGUAAUUUUACUACGGUACACGUAAUAAUUUAACACCCAUAUAGUAUUUUCACAAUUAAAAAGUAAAAUUAUUACGCUUAUCGUUGUAAAUGUGUCACGCGUUAGUAAAUGUACAUCCCGAAUGUUUAAUCAUUUCGUGAUACAUUGGAAACUUUUCGCUUCACGUAUAACGUUGUAUGUUAACAACCCAACCGUAAAAAUAUUUUCGUGUGUUAAGUAACUUACAGCUGAUAGUUUUACCGACAGUAUGUAGAAUUAUGUAGCUGUCUGUAAGUAUAUAUUCGAAUAUGAUAUUUUUUGCCCGAAUGUUUUUCUACACUGCGUGACGAUGAAGUGGCAUAUAAGAAACUAUGCGCAUAGGCAAACGUUAAUAUUUUAAUUUUAAUUUAUUAAAAUUUCGACAAUUUUAAGAAUUUAAAGAUUAAAGGAAAUUUGUAAAGAAUAUCUUCAUGGACUCUAUUGCUUAAGCAGCUCGUAUUUUUUUAAAAUUAAAGUGGAAAAAGUAUUUGUUUUUCCUGUUCUGUUGGGGAAUUCGUUAACUUUGUACAAAUGACAAAAAAGCUACAAAUGUGAUUUGUAUAUUAUAAAUAUUUAAUAUAUUUAUUUAUUUCUUA